rnacentral:tRNA from 1 species
ACUUCGUUGGUCAAGUGGUUAAGACACUGCCCUUUCACGGCGGUAACAGAGGUUCGAUUCCUCUACGAAGUA